UAGUGUUGCUAUAGCAGAAAAACCACAAAUGGAUGGCUUUAACAAAGAGAAGUUUAUUUUCUCAUAGCCCGGUAGGCUAGAAGUCCAAAUUCAGGGCAUCAGCUCCAGGGGAAGACUUUUUCUCUCUCCUGACUGUGGAAGAAGGUCCUUGUCAUCAGUCUUUCCUUGGCCUGGGAACAUCUCAGCGCAGGAACCUCAGGUCCAAAGGAUGCGCUCUGCUCCUGGUGCUGCUUUGUUCUGGCAGGAGGUCCCCAACACUCUGCUUACUUCCCUUUCCCUUUAUCUCUUAAGAGAUAAAAUGUGGUGCAGACCACACCCCAGGGAAAUUUCCUUUACAUUGGAUCAGGGAUGUGACCUGAUAAAGGUGUUACUAUCCCACCCUAAUCCUCUUUAAUGUAAAAUUACAAUCACACAAUGGAGGACAACCACAGAAUACUGAGAAUCAUGGCCUAAGAUAAUACACAUAUUUUGGGGGAGACAGAAUUCAAUCCAUGACAGAAUCCUAACCCUUAUACCUCUGGAUGUAGGAGCCCUGGUGGUGCAGUGGUUAAGUGCUCAGCUGCUAACUGAAAAGUACGUGGUUCAAACCCACCAGCCACUCCCCAGGAGAAAGAUGUGGCAGUCUGCUCCCAUAAAGAUUACAGCCUUGGAAACGCUAUGGGGCAGUUCUACUCUACCCUAUAGGGUCACAAGGAGUCAGAAUUGACUCCAGGUUAUACCUGGGGAUGUAAUCCCAUUUGAGAAUAGGGUUUUCUUUACUAUGUUAAUUAGGCCAUGCCAGUGAAGGGUGGGUCCUAAACCUAAUCACUUCUGAGUCAUCAAAAGAGCAGAUGAGACACAGAAACAGACAAGGGAGACUACAGAUAUUAUCCGAUGAUGAGGAGGCAGAUGAAUCUUCAAGCCCAGGAACUCCAAGGAUAACUGACUACUGGAAGCUGAAAUAGACCAAGGACAUUCCCCUAGAGCCACACUCUGAAUGUGGACUUUUAGCCUCCUGAACUGUGACAUCAUAAAUUUCUGUUCUCUAAAGUUGCCCACUUGUGGUAUUUCUGAUAUAGGAAUACUAGGAAAGACAUAUAUCUUUAUUUGUUUUGGGAAGCUCUUUGCAGCAGAAAAAGUUUCCUUGAAUUUUAUCAUCAUUUGCAAAUCUUAUAAAUGCUACACCCUGACACAUACUGGUGAAGUCUGUUCACACAUCCAUUUCAGCAUCAUGUGAGAUGUUAUCCACACCCUGAACUACUGUACUCUUUAGGAGGGGAACCUUUUCAGUUCCUCAUACUGCAUCUUGUCCUAGCAUUUGACACACUGGAACUUCCCUGGGACGAUCAGGUUCUCACCAACUGCAUGACCUUUCCUUUCUGGGCAAUAAGUUUUGCAAUGACAUAACUUGCUUCCUAAGCCUGAAUGUGACUUUUUAGCAAAAGCUUUAUGCUGUUUGUUUGAGAUUUCAAUAGCCAUUUAAUAUAAUCAGCCCUUCCCUUGGCAAAUGGCUGUGGUCUGUAGUUGAAUGUCUUUUCGGCGGCCUAGGGCCAUUGCUGCACUUGCGAGUUGUUUGCUGCAUGGGUCACCAGCGCAUGUAACACCCAUUGAGGAGGGAUUUUGUUGUAAAGAACAGCUUCUCUUGUUUCCCUUGCUUGACUCCAGUUGCUGGCAAGUUGACCCCGACUCAUGGUGAUCCCACGUGUGUUAGAAUAGCGCUGUGCCCCAUAGGGUUUUCAGUGGCUGAUUUUUUGGAAAUAGAUUGCCAGCCCUUUCUUCCAAGGUGCCUCUGUGUGGAUUCCUAUCUGCAACCUUCCGGUCAGCAGCUUUAACCAACCCCCUUGUCACUGAGUUGAUUCCUACUGGCUAGGCUAUAGUCCCCAGUCAUUCAUUCAAACAUUGAUCUAGGUGCUGUUGUGAAGGUAUUUUACAGAUGUCACUAAAGUCUAUAAUCAGUUUAUUUUAACUGGAGAUUAUCCUAGAUACUCUGGGUGGGCCGGAUUGAAUCUGUUGAAAAGCCUUCAGAGCAGAACUGAAGCUAUCCUAAGGAAGAAGAAAUUGGAAGUAUAGACUGUACUUGCAGUUUCGGCUGAGAGUUGCAGCCUGCCCUGCAGAUCUCAGACUUGCCUAGGCAGCCCCACAAUUGCAUAAGCCAAUUCCCUGCCAUUAAUCUCUUAAUAUAUAUACCCUACUUGUUCUCUUUGGUAGAACCCUGACUGAUACAGGGGCUGAAGGACCCUUAAUAAGAUUGUGAACAGGGCUUUCUGUCAGUGUCCUUCACGGCAAAUGCUAGCACAGUGCAGAACAUGGAAUUAAAAAAAAAAUUUUUUUUUUCUCCAAUCACAAUCUGUAGAACCCUGGCAUAGAAACUCUGUUUAAAGGCUUAGUUCUGAACCACUCACUUGGAUCUCCCUCUGCAAUCGGAUCCAAUACUCUUGCUGAUAUCACUCAUCCUCUUAUCUUCAGUUCCUUACCUGAGUGGUGCUUUGUAGACUGUCUUGAAUAAGCAACCCCCCAAGUUCUACUUGGUCCAGGGGCCCUCCUACCCCAUUGCCCUGCUCCCCCUACCCUUGUAAGUCAAUUGCCAGGAAGCUCUCCAUGGGCCCAAGUAGAAAGUAAAUAUUUCCUCAUGUGGAAAAUACGGAUGAUACUUUUCCUACCCAACUUCAUAGGACCGUCAUGAGAAUCUAACAAGGUAAAGGAUUACUUUGAAAACGUAAAGUCAUAAAGAUAGAUCAUCAUUAUCGUUGUAAUUAUCUAAUUACUGUACUAAAUCCACCAAUUAUUCUCCUCCUACCAACACCCCUAAAAGAAUUUGCCUUCAUCCACAAACCAAGAGUUAAGCCACUACAUUUGCACCAAGUGGUAUAGAAAAGAUAAAAAAGAUGAGUGCAAAUUCUGGGUUCCUUCUAGAACUAGCUAUAGUUCUGCACUCAGUAUUCCUAAAGAAGUUACUGCUUUACAUCAUCUGUAUCAGUUAGAAUUAUUGGGUUGUAAAUUUCAGAAAACCCAACCACACUGGCUUAAGAAAAAAAAUUAUUGGCCCAUAAACUCAUAGUUCCCAGGCAUCUGUCACUGUUGGCAGUUACAUCAUCCUAGAAGUCAUAGCCAAUGCUACAGAAGAAGAAAAAAAAGAGAAAGGAAAAGGGACGAAAUUAAACUGUCAUCAUUUACUUAGAAAAACCAACAGAAUAAACAAACUGUUAGGGCUUAUAAGCAACAUUGCCAGAUACAAGAUUAGCUGUGCUAGCAAUAAACCAUUAGAGAAAAAUACAGCAUUUCAUCAACUUCAAGGCACACUUUUUUUCACAUUUUAAUGUUUCUGAAAUUGAUGUACAUCAUCGAAUUGAUGGCAUCUUAGAUUUGAAUUAAAUACAGAAUCAAAAAUAAAACACAUUUCUUGAAUACUUUAAAAUCUCUAGGAAAUAAUUUAACAGAGAAUACACAAGGCCUUUAUACAGAAAACUUUAAAACUCUAAUAAUGGAUAUCAAAGAUGAUUUAAUAAGUGGAGUGAUUUUUUAUGUCCCUAAUGGGAUGAUUUAAUAUUAUAAAGUUGUCAGUUCUCCUCAAUUAAAUCUAUAAAUUCAGCGCAAUUCUAAUCAAAACCCCAUUUGGAUAUUUUUAGUGCAACUCAGUAAACUCACUCUAAAAAUUAAAGGGAAAAGGGAGGAAUAAAGCUAUGCUAGUAUUUUUUAGUAGUUAAAACACCCAUGGAAGCAGCAGUCAAGAAAUCAAAAGACGCGUUGCACUGGGGAAAUCUGCUGCAAAAUACCUCUUUUUUUUUUUAAUUGUACUUUAGAUGAAGGUUUACAGAAUAAACUAGCUUCUUAUUAAAAAGUUAGUACACAUAUUGCUUUAUGACGUUGGUUAACAACACUACGACAUGUCAACACACUUCCUUCUUGACCUUGGGUUUCCUAUUACCAGCUUCCCUGUUCCGUCCUGCCUUCUAGUCUUUGACCCUGGGUUGUUGUACCCCUUUAGUCUCAUUUUGUUUUAUGGGCCUGUCUAAUCUUUGGAUGAAGGGUGAACCUCAGGGGUGACUUCAUUACUGAGCUAAAAGGGUGUCUGGGGGGGCAUACUCUCAGAGUUUCUCCAGUCUCUGUCAGGCCAGUAAGUCUAGGCUUUUUUUGUGAGUUAGGAUUUUGUUCUACAUUUUUCCCCAGCUCUGUCCUGGACCUUCUAUUGUGAUCCCUGUCAGAGCAGUCUGUGGUAGUAGCCAGGUUCCCUCUAGUUAUAGUGGACUCAGCGUGGUGGAGGCCAUGGUAGUUGUGGUCCAUUAGUCCUUUAGACUAAUCUUUCCCUUGCAUCUUUAGGUUUCUUCAUUCUCCCUUGCUCCCAAAGGGGUGAGAUCAGUGAAGUGUCUUAGAUAGCUGCUCACAAAAGACCUCUUCAAAGUGUUAAAAAGCAAAGAUGUCACCUUGAAGACUAAGGUGUACCUAACACAACCCAUGGUGUUUUCAAUCACCUCACAUGCAUGUGAAGGAAACCCUGGUGACGUAGUGGUGAAGACCUAUGGCUGCAAACCAAAAGUUUGGCAGUUCGAAUCCACCACGUGCUCCUUGGAAACUCUAUGGGAAAGUUCUAAUCUGUCUCAUAGGGUCUCUGUGAGUCAGAAUGGAAACCCUGGAGGCAUAAUGGUUAAGUGUUACGGCUGCUAACCAUAAGGCCAACAGUUCAAAUCUACCAGGCACUCCUUGAAAACUCUGUGGGGGUAGUUCUAUUCUGUCCUAUAGGGUCGCUAUGAGUCGGAAUCGACUGGAUGGCAAUAGGUUUAGGUAUGAGUCGGAAUUGAGUCGAUGGCAACAGGUUUUUUUUUUUUUUUUUUAAUAUUCAUGUGAAAACUGGGCAAUGAAUAAGGAAGACUGAAGAAAAACUCAUGCCUUUAAAUUAUGGCAAAGGCAAAGAAUACUGAAUAUACCAUGGACUUCCAAAAGAAUGAACAAAUCUGUCUUGAAUGAAAUACAACCAGAAUGUUCCUUAGAAGCAAGGAUGGCGAGACUGUAUCUCACAUACUUUGGACAUGUUAUCAGGAGUGACCAGUCCCUGGAGAAGGACAUCAGGCUUGGUAAAGUAGAGGGUCAGCAAAAAAGAGGAAGACCUCCAAUGAGAUGGAUUGACACACACACAAAAAAAUCUAUUGCUGUCAAGUCGAUUCCGACUCAUAGCGACCCUAUAGGACAGAGUAGAACUGUCCCAUAUGGUUUCUAAGGAGCGCCUGGUGGAUUCAAACUGCCGAUCUUUUGGAUAGCAGGUGUAGCUCUUAACUACCAUGCCACCAGGGUUUCUGGAUUGACACAGUGGCUGCAACAAUGGGCUAAAGCAUAACAAUGAUUGUAAGGAUGGUACAGGACCGGGCAAGUGUUUCAUUCUGUUGUACAUAGGGUUGCUGGAGUCAGAACCGACUUGAUGGCACUUAGCAGCAACAGCAAUAGUUAACAUGGCCUUUAAAAAGAAAGAAAAAGGACUUGCCCUAAUAAAUAUUUGGUCAUACUAUAAAAUCACAAUGAUAAAAACAAUUUGGUAUUAGUGCGAGAACAGACAAAAGGCUCAUGGAACAGAACAGAGCACUUCAAAACAAUUCCAUGUGUGUUAGAACUCAAUAUAUGAUAAAAAAAAAAAAAGACUCGGCAAAUCAAUGAGAGAAGAACGGAUAGUUAGAUGGUGUUGGGAAACCUGGCUCAUAAUAUGGAGAAAAACAACACUGAAUCCCUACCUAACGCUGAACACAAAGUUGCAUUCUACAUGCAUCAAAGACCAUAAUAUGAGACAUAAAACUAUACAGUUAAUAAGAGGAAAUAUAGGAGAAUAUUAUUGUGACAUGAGGCAGUGUUUCUCAACCUUUUUUUUUUUGAUGUUGUUAUUAGUAUCACUAAGGGCUUUUUUUGUUUGUUUUUUCAGAUAUUCUUUCCCUAAUUAUGCCCUCGUGAAAUUUUAAUACCACAGAUAUACCGCAUAGCUGUUUUUGUACUCUGUGUGUAUGUGUGCUUGUGUGUGUGUAGGGAGCUCUGGUUGUGCAAACAGUUAAGUUCUCGACUGCUAACCAAAAGGCUGGCGGUUUGAACCUGCCCUGUGGCUCCACAGAAGACCUGGCAGUCUGCUUCUGUAAAGACCACAGCCUAGGAAACCCUGUGUGCAGUUCUACUCCAUCACUUGGGGUCGCUGUGAGUCAGAAUCAAUUCAGUGACACCAAACAACAGGAAGAACUGCUGGCACAAUGGUUAAGUGCUCGGCUGCUAACCAAAAGAGGGGAAGAGACACAGAGGAAAAACGACUACUAUGUGAAGACAGAGGCAGAAAUUGAAGUGAUGCUUCUACAAGCCAAGGAACGUCUACAUUGUUGGCAACACCAGAAGCUAGGAAGGAUCUUCCCCUGGAGCCUUCAGAGGGAGCAUGGCCCUGCUGACACCUUAGUUGUGGACUUCUAGCCUCCACAACUAAGAGACAAUACAUCCCUGUUGUUUUAAGCCAUCCAGUUCAUGGUACAAUGUGACAGCAGCCCUUGGAGAUGAAGACGCCUGCCUGGAGCAUCACUGGCCUUUGAGGUCUAGCCCUACACUCGCCCAGGCCUGGGCAGCUAUCAACCCCAGCGUGUGAGUAGAAUUCCUAACUGAAAUCCCUACCCUGCAAUGGAGAGGCGUAUCCAAGGAGACUGACAGGUAAAUGUGAACGUUAUAAUCAAGAUCUUGAGGUUGCAUUCUUAAUGCCUUUUUCCUCUGAAAGGGUUUCUGUGCUUUCCUCUCGGCAGACUUGUUAGGGAUGUAAUUGAAGCUUGGGUUGCACCUGAAUGAGAAUGUCACCCUGUGGGAUUUCAGAACUCAGUGGGAAAUAAUCCCCCUACCCUGGAAACCUGACUCCCACUCCCUGACCAGGAUUUAGACAGAGAAGGGGUGGGACAUUGAUUCUGCAGCAGAGUGAUCUCUGGAAUCUUUCCAGAUAGCUUAUAGCAGAGUGAUCUCUGGAAUCUUCCUUUCCAGGUAGCUUCAGCUCACAAAGGCUGUGUCAAUACCUACGGCCAGCGCAGCCAUCCUCACUGAAGUGGUCAUUCUUGGAUUUUUUUUACUUUUCAAUUGGUUGUUAUGAUAACAUCAUGCAAACACACCCUAGGCCUUCCAAGGUGCUUCAUAAGCUUUGAAGUGAUCUACGGGCGAAAGGUUCAUGAAUCCCUUAAAUAGGAAAUUGUUUCCUCCCUUUAAAUCCUGGUGGCUUAUUUAUUGACCCAGCUAUUCCAUAAGUCUUGUUUUGGUUACCUAUGGCUGCAUAACCAAUCACCCCAAACUUAGUGGCUUAAAUUAGUUCAUGCUAUGGUUUGAAUCGUGUCCCCCCAAAAUACAUGCUGGAAUCCUAACUCCUACACCUGUGAACGUAAUCCCAUUUGGGAAUAGGGUUUUCUUUGUUCUGUUAAUAGAGCCAUAUCAGUGUAGGGUAUGUCAUAAACCUACUCGCUUUGAGUUAUAAAAAGAGCAGAUUAGACACAGAAACAAGCAGAAAUGGGGGAAGAUACACACCACAUGAAGAUUGCCGAGGAACCAAGGAACAGAAAGAAGCUGAAGAGACAAGGGCCUUCCCUCAGAGCCAACAGAGAGAAAAACUUUCUUAGAGCUGGUGCCCUGAAUUUAAACUUCCAGCCUCCUAACUGUGAGAAAAUAAAUUUCCCUUCUUUAAAGCCAUCCACUUGUAUGGAACUUGUGUUACAGCAGCACUAAAACCCGAACCGUUGCCAAUGAGUCGAUUCCAACUCAUAGUGACCCUAUAAGACAGAGUAGAACUGCCCUAUAGAGUUUCCAAGGAGUGCCUGGUGGAUUUGAACCAUCAACCUUUUGGUUAGCAACCGUAGAGGAAACUAAGGCAGGCUACAAAUCUGCUGUUUGAGCAGGGCUCAGCUGGGCAGCUGGUCACUGCUCCUCUGGGGGUCAGCUGGGCAGCUCAACUGGAAUGGGAGGACCCACUUCUAAGAUGGUGCACUCAUACAGCUGUCAGGUUGGUACCGGCUGUCAGUUCCUCCAUGUGAACAUCUCCACAGUGCAGCCUGGGCUUCCUCAUAGCAUGGUGGCUGGGUUUCAAGAGCAAAUAUCCUAAGAGAUAGAAGUGGAAUCUGCAACUUUCUUAUGACCUAGGCCCAAAGACUGGCAGAGCUUCACUUUUACCAUAUUCUAUUGGUCAAGCAAUCACAGAGCCAAGAUUGAAGAAGGGGACAUAGAUCCCAUCUCUCAACAGGAGGAGUAACUGUAAGUACCUACCAUGUGAUAGGCACUGGGAAAACAGAACCAAUAGCCAACAUUUAUUAAGGACUUGCUACAUGCUAGCAUACAGGUACUAUCUCAUUUUUUUAUGCCUUUAUUUGAGCAUGACAGUGCUCUUUUUUUUUAAAUAAUUUUUAUUGAGCUUUAAGUGAACGUUUACAAAUCAAGUCAGUCUGUCACAUAUAAGCUUAUAUACACCUUACUCCGUAUUCCCACUUACUCUCCCCCUAAGGAGUCAGCCCUUCCAGUCUCUCCUCUCGUGACAAUUUUGCCAGUUUCUAACCCUCUCUUCCCUCGUGUCUCCCCUCCAGACAGGAGAUGCCAACAUAGUCUCAAGUGUCCACCUGAUACAAGUAGCUCACUCUUCAUCCGUACUGUCUCAUUUAAACUUAAAAACAAAAACAAAAUUUAUGACAUUGUGUAGAAUAAUGUCCCCCCGCAAAAGAUGCCCACAUUGUAAUCCCCAGAACCUGUGAAUAUGGUAUGUUACAUGGGGAAUUAAGGUUGCAGAUGGAAUUAAAUUUUCUAAUUAGCUGACCUUAAAAUAGGAAGAUUAUCCUGGAUUAUCUAGAUAGGCCCAAUAUAACCACAGGGUCCUGAAAAGUGGAAGAGGGGGCAGAAGAGUUAGAAUCAGAGGAGAUGUGACAGCAGAAGGAAGGUCAGAGCGAUGUGAUGUGAGAAGGACUUGGUUUGCCACUUCUGGCUUUGGAGAUAGAAAAAGGGGCCAUGAAUCAAGGAAUAUGGGCAGGAAUACAGAAGCUGGGUGAGGCAAGGGAACUGAUUCUCCCCUAGAGGCUCCAGAAGAAAUGCAAUCCUACCCACAUCUUGAUUCUGCCCAAUGAGACCUUUGUCAGACUUCUAACCUGCAGAACUGUAAGAUUAAAAAAAAAAAAGUGUUGUUUUAAGCCACUAAAUUCAUGGCAACUUGUUACAGUAGCAAUAGGCAACUAACACAUGUGGGUACCAUCAUUAUCCUCUUUUUACAGAUAAGGAAGCCAAGGCGUAGAGAGGUUAAACAACUUGCCCAGAGUCACACUAGGAAAUGACAGAGCCAGGAUUAAUACCUCUGUCUGUCUGAUUCCAGCACCCAUGCUCUAAGCUACUAUAGUCCCUGAACUUCAUAAUCUAGUGGGAGAGACAGGUAUAUACAUUAAAACAAAACAAACAACAACAGAAACACAAGGCAGUGAGAGGGUGCCAUGUCAGGGCCUAAGGUUAGCGGGGGCAGAAAUAAAAGAAUGAACUACACUCCAUCAGGAGGUUGGGGAAGCUUCACAUAGAAGGUAAGGCAGGACUCUUUCCGUGACAAUGGACCUAACCUCCUCAAACCAGUAAAAGUAAAAGAACGCUCAAGUGUGUGUAAAGUCUAGGAGAUGAGACACAGUUGGAGUCAGGUGUUCGAAAAAUGUUGUCAAGAACUUUCUUCAUUUCUUGACCGGUUUUGCUCUCAGGCAGGUAAACACUCCCCUUGAGAUGGCAAAGGCCUGCAUCCUACCAGCAUCCUCAUAAGAACCCAAAGCUUUUCUAACUGCUACCAAAAAAGACCCAAGAUAAGGGCUCAUCCGACCAAAUUGGGCCAAGUGCCCAUAACUGAAGAGCUGAUUGGCAAGGUUCAACCCUUGGAAUCUCAAUCUAAUCCAUGUGUUCCAGGAGUGGGGGACAGAUGAUUCUCCAAAGGAAAAUGAAGGUGCAAUUGUCAGAAGAAAGUGUGGAAUGACUGCCAGGCAGGUAGAAACAGGUGUCAUCACCUGACCUGCCAUUUGAGGGCCGAAUUUAACAUAUGAGGGUCAUACAUGUAACACUUGCUCAUUAUGUGUGGCACCUGAAUUUUGCUUGGGUAGAAGGUGCAGAGCCCAGGGAUACAUCACUAUCAGUCUAAGCCCUCACAAUCAUGGUAUUCCCACUGCUCUUCACCAGAUACUAUCUUUCCCAUCUUUCUUUGCUGUUAGAGGUAGCCAUGUGACCAAGUUCUGGCCAAUGAGAUAAAAGAAGUCUGCUCAUGGGCUUCUGGGAAAAUUUUUGUUUCUGACAAAAUGUCAUGAAAUGAAUGUUCCCUGUCACCAUUCUUUCUUGCCUUGAACAUGGUUGCAUGAUGACAAGACGCUUAGAGCUCCAGCAGCCAUCUUGCAACCAUGAAGCAACAAAUCUAAGACAAAAAGCCACAUGCUUAGGAUGAUGGGGAGAAAUGGCAAAUCAUCACUAAACUACUGUACCGGCCUGGAACUGCCUACCAUCAGACAUCUUGUUACAAGAGAUAAUUGUACAAGAGAUAAUAAUUCGUUGCUAGAGCCAUUGUUAGGUAUCCUGCAACUUGCAGCCAGACACAUCCUGAUGCUUUGUUAUAAAAGUGAAAGAUUAUUACACCCUUAGUCUGUUUUUCUUUAAGGAUCACAAGAGACUUUCUAGAAGCCCUCACGAAAACCAUUAUCUCAGAUGCUCCCUCUGCCAGAAUUUCAGCAGUUGCCCAUUAAUAUAACUUCCGGAGGCAGGCAGGGCACCCACAGGUGGUAUUGCUAAUCUACAAAGCUGUUUUGACAGCAUAGUAUACUAUGUUAUUAGCUACAUAACAUAGGCAAGUUAAUUUCUGUUGCCUCUGAAAUACACGAAGGAAAGUAUAAUUCAGUUCUUUCUGGGUAUUAAAGAGAAAAUCCUAAGGGAUUUUUUUUUCAAGCUUU